rnacentral:rRNA from 1 species
UGGGGAAUUUUGGGCAAUGGGGGAAACCCUGAUCCAGCCAUCCCGCGUGUGCGAUGAAGGCCUUCGGGUUGUAAAGCACUUUUGGCAGGAAAGAAACGUCGCGGGUUAAUACCCCGCGAAACUGACGGUACCUGCAGAAUAAGCACCGGCUAACUACGUGCCAGCAGCCGCGGUAAUACGUAGGGUGCAAGCGUUAAUCGGAAUUACUGGGCGUAAAGCGUGCGCAGGCGGUUCGGAAAGAAAGAUGUGAAAUCCCAGAGCUUAACUUUGGAACUGCAUUUUUAACUACCGGGCUAGAGUGUGUCGGAGGGAGGUGGAAUUCCGCGUGUAGCAGUGAAAUGCGUAGAUAUGCGGAGGAACACCGAUGGCGAAGGCAGCCUCCUGGGAUAACACUGACGCUCAUGCACGAAAGCGUGGGGAGCAAACAGGAUUAGAUACCCUGGUAGUCCACGCCCUAAACGAUGUCAACUAGCUGUUGGGGCCUUCGGGCCUUGGUAGCGCAGCUAACGCGUGAAGUUGACCGCCUGGGGAGUACGGUCGCAAGAUUAAAACUCAAAUGAAUUGAC